rnacentral:rRNA from 1 species
GGGUCAGUAGGUUGGUCGUGCCACCGGUACGUACUGGUCUCACUGAUUCCUCCUUCCUGAAGAACCGUAAUGCCAUUAAUUUGGUGUUGCGGGGAAACAGGACUGUUACUCUGAAAAAAUUAGAGUGUUUAAAGCAAGCUAACGCUUGAAUACAUUAGCAUGGAAUAAUGAAAUAGGACGAUCGAUCCUAUUUUGUUGGUUUCUAGGAUUGACGUA